rnacentral:rRNA from 1 species
CAGCAGCCGCGGGAAUACAGAGGGUGCGAGCGUUAAUCGGAUUUACUGGGCGUAAAGCGUGUGUAGGUUGUUGUUCAAGUCAGUUGUGAAAUCCCUGGGCUCAACCUGGGAACUGCUUCUGAGACUGAACGACUAGAGUACGGUAGAGGGUGGUGGAAUUUCCGGUGUAGCGGUGAAAUGCGUAGAUAUCGGAAGGAACAUCAAUGGCGAAGGCAGCCACCUGGGCCUGUACUGACACUGAGACACGAAAGCGUGGGGAUCAAACAGGAUUAGAUACCCCCGUAGUCCCUGUCCUUAUACC